rnacentral:lncRNA from 1 species
GACUAAUCUAGACUAAUCAAUUCUCUAGCUCGACCAGAGUUGAUGCGGCCGUAAGCUUCGGCGACUUCGAGCUCAGGCAGCGGAGAGAGUAAACCACCUGGGUAGCGACUAAGCUUCGGCGACUUCGAGCUCGACCAGGUAGCGACUUCGAGCGGAGAGAGAGUGAGAGUGAGAGGCGGAGAGAGAGAGAGUGAGGCGAGAGCGAGAGAGUGUAUCGGUUUCUGGUUUCGAUAGGCUGCUGAGAUGGUGAGAUGGUGAGAGCAAAAAGGAGGGAGAAUGACCUAAUUUCUUUCAAGAAACGGAGGAAAGUUUUUGGCUUCGAUACGAC